GAUCAUGGCUCAGGAUGAACGCUAGCUACAGGCUUAACACAUGCAAGUCGAGGGGCAGCAUGAACUUAGCUUGCUAAGUUUGAUGGCGACCGGCGCACGGGUGAGUAACACGUAUCCAACCUUCCGUUUACUCAGGGAUAGCCUUUCGAAAGAAAGAUUAAUACCUGAUAGUAUGGUGAGAUUGCAUGAUAACACCAUUAAAGAUUUAUUGGUAAACGGUGGGGAUGCGUUCCAUUAGGUAGUAGGCGGGGUAACGGCCCACCUAGCCUGCGAUGGAUAGGGGUUCUGAGAGGAAGGUCCCCCACAUUGGAACUGAGACACGGUCCAAACUCCUACGGGAGGCAGCAGUGAGGAAUAUUGGUCAAUGGGCGAGAGCCUGAACCAGCCAAGUAGCGUGAAGGAUGAAGGUCCUACGGAUUGUAAACUUCUUUUAUACGGGAAUAAAGUAUCCUACGUGUAGGAUUUUGUAUGUACCGUAUGAAUAAGCAUCGGCUAACUCCGUG
rnacentral:rRNA from 1 species